rnacentral:ncRNA from 14 species
GACAAAAGCAGUAACUGGCGAAAACUGUGGAACCAACCACAAGGGAGCUGCUUUUCUUACGCUUAAUAGCCGUUCGCCUGGGCUGAGGCU